rnacentral:rRNA from 1 species
UGUUUCGGCAAGGGGGUCAUCCCGACUUACCAACCCGAUGCAAACUGCGAAUACCGGAGAAUGUUAUCACGGGAGACACACGGCGGGUGCUAACGUCCGUCGUGAAGAGGGAAACAACCCAGACCGCCAGCUAAGGUCCCAAAGUCAUGGUUAAGUGGGAAACGAUGUGGGAAGGCCCAGACAGCCAGGAUGUUGGCUUAGAAGCAGCCAUCAUUUAAAGAAAGCGUAAUAGCUCACUGGUCGAGUCGGCCUGCGCGGAAGAUGUAACGGGGCUAAACCAUGCACCGAAGCUGCGGCAGCGACGCUGAUGCGUUGUUGGGUAGGGGAGCGUUCUGUAAGCCUGCGAAGGUGUGCUGUGAGGCAUGCUGGAGGUAUCAGAAGUGCGAAUGCUGACAUAAGUAACGAUAAAGCGGGUGAAAAGCCCGCUCGCCGGAAGACCAAGGGUUCCUGUCCAACGUUAAUCGGGGCAGGGUGAGUCGACCCCUAAGGCGAGGCCGAAAGGCGUAGUCGAUGGGAAACAGGUUAAUAUUCCUGUACUUGGUGUUACUGCGAAGGGGGGACGGAGAAGGCUAUGUUGGCCGGGCGACGGUUGUCCCGGUUUAAGCGUGUAGGCUGGUUUUCCAGGCAAAUCCGGAAAAUCAAGGCUGAGGCGUGAUGACGAGGCACUACGGUGCUGAAGCAACAAAUGCCCUGCUUCCAGGAAAAGCCUCUAAGCAUCAGGUAACAUCAAAUCGUACCCCAAACCGACACAGGUGGUCAGGUAGAGAAUACCAAGGCGCUUGAGAGAACUCGGGUGAAGGAACUAGGCAAAAUGGUGCCGUAACUUCGGGAGAAGGCACGCUGAUAUGUAGGUGAAGUCCCUUGCGGAUGGAGCUGAAAUCAGUCGAAGAUACCAGCUGGCUGCAACUGUUUAUUAAAAACACAGCACUGUGCAAACACGAAAGUGGACGUAUACGG